AAACCGUGAUGGGGACAACGUCUAAGUAUUUCAUUAAAACGCUCCCACACAUCGAAAAGAGAUUCCCCGCUUUUUUGAGUAAAUUGGUAAAGCUUUCCCCUAAGUUG
rnacentral:snoRNA from 1 species